rnacentral:rRNA from 1 species
UACGGAGGGUGCAAGCGUUGCUCGGAAUUACUGGGCGUAAAGCGCGUGUAGGCGGUCUCGUGUGUCUGGCGUGAAAACUCCGGGCUCACCCCGGGAAGUGAGUUGGAAACUGCGAGACUAGAGUUCCGGAGAGGAAGGUGGAAUUCCAGGUGUAGCGGUGAAAUGCGUAGAUAUCUGGAAGAACACCGGUGGCGAAGGCGGCCUUCUGGACGGUGACUGACGAUGAGACGCGAAAGCGUGGGGAGCAAACAGG